rnacentral:tRNA from 1 species
AAGAAUAAAUAAAGAAAGAGCCGCUAACUACUUUCUAAGUGUUAAACACUUUAUUCUUA